GUACAGAGACACAAACAGAGACACACAAACAAAAAAAAAAAAAAAAAACAGCAAGCGUGUGGUUUUGUUUUCUUGUCGCAAGCGUGUGUGGUUUUGUUUUGUUGCUCCCAUUUUCAUUAUAUGUCCAUUGUACAGUGAUUCCUACAAAUACGAAGUUAGGUUUA
rnacentral:ribozyme from 1 species